rnacentral:rRNA from 1 species
AGUGAACGCUGGCGGUAGGCCUAACACAUGCAAGUCGAACGGCAGCACAGGAGAGCUUGCUCUCUGGGUGGCGAGUGGCGGACGGGUGAGGAAUACAUCGGAAUCUACUCUGUCGUGGGGGAUAACGUAGGGAAACUUACGCUAAUACCGCAUACGACCUACGGGUGAAAGCAGGGGAUCUUCGGACCUUGCGCGAUUGAAUGAGCCGAUGUCGGAUUAGCUAGUUGGCGGGGUAAAGGCCCACCAAGGCGACGAUCCGUAGCUGGUCUGAGAGGAUGAUCAGCCACACUGGAACUGGGACACGGGCCAGACUCCUACGGGAGGCAGCAGUGGGGAAUAUUGGACAAUGGGCGCAAGCCUGAUCCAGCCAUACCGCGUGGGUGAAGAAGGCCUUCGGGUUGUAAAGCCCUUUUGUUGGGAAAGAAAUCCAGCUGGCUAAUACCCGGUUGGGAUGACGGUACCCAAAGAAUAAGCACCGGCUAACUUCGUGCCAGCCGCCGCGGUAA